UAACCUGCCUGGUAGCGGGGAUAACUAUUGGAAACGAUAGCUAAUACCGCAUAACAACAGUUGUUGCAUGACAGCUGUUUAAAAGAUGCAAUUGCAUCACUACCAGAUGGACCUGCGUUGUAUUAGCUAGUUGGUGAGGUAACGGCUCACCAAGGCAACGAUACAUAGCCGACCUGAGAGGGUGAUCGGCCACACUGGGACUGAGACACGGCCCAG
rnacentral:rRNA from 1 species